rnacentral:rRNA from 1 species
ACAACGGGUGGAGCUUGCGGUUUAAUUGGAUUCAACGCCGGAAAUCUUACCGGACCGACAGCAAUAUGAAGGCCAGGCUGAAGACUUUGCCGGAUUAGCUGAGAGGUGGUGCAUGGCCGUCGUCAGUUCGUACUGUGAAGCAUCCUGUUAAGUCAGGCAACGAGCGAGACCCACGCCCACAGUUGCCAGCGUACUCUCUGGAGUGACGGGUACACUGUGGGGACCGCCGCUGCUAAAGCGGAGGAAGGAAUGGGCAACGGUAGGUCAGCAUGCCCCGAAUUAUCUGGGCUACACGCGGGCUACAAUGGGUGGGACAAUGGGUAUCGACACCGAAAGGUGAAGGCAAUCUCCUAAACCCAUCCGUAGUUCGGAUUGUGGGCUGCAACUCGCCCACAUGAAGCUGGAAUCUGUAGUAAUCGUGUCUCAAAAUGGCACGGUGAAUAUGUCCCUGCUCCUU